AGAGUUUGAUCCUGGCUCAGAUUGAACGCUGGCGGCAGGCCUAACACAUGCAAGUCGAGCGGUAACACAGGGAGCUUGCUCCCGGGUGACGAGCGGCGGACGGGUGAGUAAUGUCUGGGAAACUGCCUGAUGGAGGGGGAUAACUACUGGAAACGGUAGCUAAUACCGCAUAACGUCGCAAGACCAAAGAGGGGGACCUUCGGGCCUCUUGCCAUCAGAUGUGCCCAGAUGGGAUUAGCUAGUAGGUGGGGUAAUGGCUCACCUAGGCGACGAUCCCUAGCUGGUCUGAGAGGAUGACCAGCCACACUGGAACUGAGACACGGUCCAGACUCCUACGGGAGGCAGCAGUGGGGAAUAUUGCACAAUGGGCGCAAGCCUGAUGCAGCCAUGCCGCGUGUAUGAAGAAGGCCUUCGGGUUGUAAAGUACUUUCAGCGGGGAGGAAGGCGAUAAGGUUAAUAACCUUGUCGAUUGACGUUACCCGCAGAAGAAGCACCGGCUAACUCCGUGCCAGCAGCCGCGGUAAUACGGAGGGUGCAAGCGUUAAUCGGAAUUACUGGGCGUAAAGCGCACGCAGGCGGUCUGUCAAGUCGGAUGUGAAAUCCCCGGGCUCAACCUGGGAACUGCAUUCGAAACUGGCAGGCUAGAGUCUUGUAGAGGGGGGUAGAAUUCCAGGUGUAGCGGUGAAAUGCGUAGAGAUCUGGAGGAAUACCGGUGGCGAAGGCGGCCCCCUGGACAAAGACUGACGCUCAGGUGCGAAAGCGUGGGGAGCAAACAGGAUUAGAUACCCUGGUAGUCCACGCCGUAAACGAUGUCGACUUGGAGGUUGUGCCCUUGAGGCGUGGCUUCCGGAGCUAACGCGUUAAGUCGACCGCCUGGGGAGUACGGCCGCAAGGUUAAAACUCAAAUGAAUUGACGGGGGCCCGCACAAGCGGUGGAGCAUGUGGUUUAAUUCGAUGCAACGCGAAGAACCUUACCUACUCUUGACAUCCAGAGAACUUUCCAGAGAUGGAUUGGUGCCUUCGGGAACUCUGAGACAGGUGCUGCAUGGCUGUCGUCAGCUCGUGUUGUGAAAUGUUGGGUUAAGUCCCGCAACGAGCGCAACCCUUAUCCUUUGUUGCCAGCGGUCCGGCCGGGAACUCAAAGGAGACUGCCAGUGAUAAACUGGAGGAAGGUGGGGAUGACGUCAAGUCAUCAUGGCCCUUACGAGUAGGGCUACACACGUGCUACAAUGGCGCAUACAAAGAGAAGCGACCUCGCGAGAGCAAGCGGACCUCAUAAAGUGCGUCGUAGUCCGGAUUGGAGUCUGCAACUCGACUCCAUGAAGUCGGAAUCGCUAGUAAUCGUAGAUCAGAAUGCUACGGUGAAUACGUUCCCGGGCCUUGUACACACCGCCCGUCACACCAUGGGAGUGGGUUGCAAAAGAAGUAGGUAGCUUAACCUUCGGGAGGGCGCUUACCACUUUGUGAUUCAUGACUGGGGUGAAGUCGUAACAAGGUAGCCGUA
rnacentral:rRNA from 2 species